UUAAGCGACUAAGCGUACACGGUGGAUGCCCUGGCAGUCAGAGGCGAUGAAGGACGUGCUAAUCUGCGAAAAGCGUCGGUAAGGUGAUAUGAACCGUUAUAACCGGCGAUGUCCGAAUGGGGAAACCCAGUGCAAUUCGUUGCACUAUCGUUAACUGAAUACAUAGGUUAACGAGGCGAACCGGGGGAACUGAAACAUCUAAGUACCCCGAGGAAAAGAAAUCAACCGAGAUUCCCCCAGUAGCGGCGAGCGAACGGGGAGCAGCCCAGAGUCUGAAUCAGCUUGUGUGUUAGUGGAACGGUCUGGAAAGUCCGACGGUACAGGGUGAUAGUCCCGUACACCAAAAUGCACAGGUUGUGAACUCGAAGAGUAGGGCGGGACACGUGGUAUCCUGUCUGAAUAUGGGGGGACCAUCCUCCAAGGCUAAAUACUCCUGACUGACCGAUAGUGAACCAGUACCGUGAGGGAAAGGCGAAAAGAACCCCGGCGAGGGGAGUGAAAAAGAACCUGAAACCGUGUACGUACAAGCAGUGGGAGCACCUUCGGGUGUGACUGCGUACCUUUUGUAUAAUGGGUCAGCGACUUAUAUUCUGUAGCAAGGUUAACCGUAUAGGGGAGCCGCAGGGAAACCGAGUCUUAACUGGGCGUUAAGUUGCAGGGUAUAGACCCGAAACCCGGUGAUCUAGCCAUGGGCAGGUUGAAGGUUGGGUAACACUAACUGGAGGACCGAACCGACUAAUGUUGAAAAAUUAGCGGAUGACUUGUGGCUGGGGGUGAAAGGCCAAUCAAACCGGGAGAUAGCUGGUUCUCCCCGAAAGCUAUUUAGGUAGCGCCUCGUGAACUCAUCUUCGGGGGUAGAGCACUGUUUCGGCUAGGGGGUCAUCCCGACUUACCAACCCGAUGCAAACUACGAAUACCGAAGAAUGUUAUCACGGGAGACACACGGCGGGUGCUAACGUCCGUCGUGAAGAGGGAAACAACCCAGACCGCCAGCUAAGGUCCCAAAGUCAUGGUUAAGUGGGAAACGAUGUGGGAAGGCACAGACAGCCAGGAUGUUGGCUUAGAAGCAGCCAUCAUUUAAAGAAAGCGUAAUAGCUCACUGGUCGAGUCGGCCUGCGCGGAAGAUGUAACGGGGCUAAACCAUGCACCGAAGCUGCGGCAGCGACACUAUGUGUUGUUGGGUAGGGGAGCGUUCUGUAAGCCUGCGAAGGUGACCUGUGAGGGUUGCUGGAGGUAUCAGAAGUGCGAAUGCUGACAUAAGUAACGAUAAAGCGGGUGAAAAGCCCGCUCGCCGGAAGACCAAGGGUUCCUGUCCAACGUUAAUCGGGGCAGGGUGAGUCGACCCCUAAGGCGAGGCCGAAAGGCGUAGUCGAUGGGAAACAGGUUAAUAUUCCUGUACUUGGUGUUACUGCGAAGGGGGGACGGAGAAGGCUAUGUUAGCCGGGCGACGGUUGUCCCGGUUUAAGCAUGUAGGCUGAUUGUCCAGGCAAAUCCGGAUAAUCAAGGCUGAGGUGUGAUGACGAGGCACUACGGUGCUGAAGUAACAAAUGCCCUGCUUCCAGGAAAAGCCUCUAAGCAUCAGGUAACAUUAAAUCGUACCCCAAACCGACACAGGUGGUCAGGUAGAGAAUACCAAGGCGCUUGAGAGAACUCGGGUGAAGGAACUAGGCAAAAUGGUGCCGUAACUUCGGGAGAAGGCACGCUGGUGUGUAGGUGAAGCCCCUGCGGGUGGAGCUGAGACCAGUCGAAGAUACCAGCUGGCUGCAACUGUUUAUUAAAAACACAGCACUGUGCAAACACGAAAGUGGACGUAUACGGUGUGACGCCUGCCCGGUGCCGGAAGGUUAAUUGAUGGGGUUAUCCGUAAGGAGAAGCUCUUGAUCGAAGCCCCGGUAAACGGCGGCCGUAACUAUAACGGUCCUAAGGUAGCGAAAUUCCUUGUCGGGUAAGUUCCGACCUGCACGAAUGGCGUAAUGAUGGCCAGGCUGUCUCCACCCGAGACUCAGUGAAAUUGAACUCGCUGUGAAGAUGCAGUGUACCCGCGGCAAGACGGAAAGACCCCGUGAACCUUUACUAUAGCUUGACACUGAACAUUGAGCCUUGAUGUGUAGGAUAGGUGGGAGGCUUUGAAGCGUGGACGCCAGUCUGCGUGGAGCCAACCUUGAAAUACCACCCUUUAAUGUUUGAUGUUCUAACGUUGGCCCCUGACCGGGGUUGCGGACAGUGUCUGGUGGGUAGUUUGACUGGGGCGGUCUCCUCCCAAAGCGUAACGGAGGAGCACGAAGGUUAGCUAAUCCUGGUCGGACAUCAGGAGGUUAGUGCAAUGGCAUAAGCUAGCUUGACUGCGAGCGUGACGGCGCGAGCAGGUGCGAAAGCAGGUCAUAGUGAUCCGGUGGUUCUGAAUGGAAGGGCCAUCGCUCAACGGAUAAAAGGUACUCCGGGGAUAACAGGCUGAUACCGCCCAAGAGUUCAUAUCGACGGCGGUGUUUGGCACCUCGAUGUCGGCUCAUCACAUCCUGGGGCUGAAGUAGGUCCCAAGGGUAUGGCUGUUCGCCAUUUAAAGUGGUACGCGAGCUGGGUUUAGAACGUCGUGAGACAGUUCGGUCCCUAUCUGCCGUGGGCGCUGGAGAAUUGAGGGGGGCUGCUCCUAGUACGAGAGGACCGGAGUGGACGCAUCACUGGUGUUCGGGUUGUCAUGCCAAUGGCACUGCCCGGUAGCUAAAUGCGGAAGAGAUAAGUGCUGAAAGCAUCUAAGCACGAAACUUGCCCCGAGAUGAGUUCUCCCUGAGACUUUAAGUCUCCUGAAGGAACGUUAAAGACGAUGACGUUGAUAGGCCGGGUGUGUAAGCGCAGCGAUGCGUUGAGCUAACCGGUACUAAUGAACCGUGAGGCUUAACCUU
rnacentral:rRNA from 1 species